UUAAGUAAACAUGUAAUUUUUUCUUUAUUUUAUGCAUAAAUACACUAAAAUAUGAGAAGUUCCACUAAGUCUGAAGACGUACAGGAUCACCCUCGCCUGAGAUGUGAGGACUGCAGGGAACACAAUGGGGGGAGUUCAGAAUGUCCCUCUUGGACAUAUUAAGGGGAAGAUGCCUGUUAGAUGACCUAGCAGAGACGUCACAAAGACAACUAGACACAGGAUUCCAGAGUCCAAGGGAGAGGUCUGCAGGGGAAAUGGAGACGUGUAGGUGGGGUUUAAACCAGGGGGUGAGAUGGUAAGGAAGGUCAGUGGGUGUGGACAGAGAGGGAAAGUGUUUCAAGGACUAAGUCGUGGGACACUCUACAUUCAGAGAAGAGCAUUCAAAGAACUGGUAACAGCACAUUUUCCAGUUGGGAGGAAUUUGGGAUGAAAGAAUACUCAGAGUCACAAGGGAAGCCCCAUCACCUCCCCCAACGCGGAAUCGGAGGAAGUGGUGACUGCGAAGAGGCCUGGGGAGCAGAAGGGCCCGGCCCAAGGAGGAAAGGACGGGGGAUGGAUUAGAAGAAAGCGGGGUCUGCAGAAUCCCAGGGCCAGGGAGAGGACGCGGCUUCCCCCGGACUGGGGCUGCGGCCCGCCCUUCAGGGGUCGACAGCGGUGAGGUUGGGGGACCGGAAGGGUGUGAACCCGCCUCGCGGUGAGGACUUUGCGUGAAAGCGACCCCCGGACUCUCACUGGGACGUCUGAACUCCCUCAGGGUGGAAGGAGCGGUGCUUGGAUUUAAAGACAGCCGCCAAGCAGCUCGGAAUUAACGUUGACGGUGUCUUGCCUCCUGUGGUUGACCAAUCUUCUCCUCCCCGGACCGACUGCUCCCUCCCCAUCGAUCCCAACAGCAGUCCCCCACGGACAAGAGGAGAGUCUUGGAGACGGGGUAUAACAUAACACGCUGGAGCUCUGCCAGGCCUCAGAACUUCUCGCGCGACGUCAGGACUGGCUGCCCACUGCACGGGCGGGGCGGGGACUUAACUCAAAGGAAAGCGACCCCGACCACUCAGGUCCUUGCGUAAUUAAACAAGCCGCUCCGAUGGCCGGUGCCCGGCGGCCACCGCCCCACAGGGCUCCUUCGCCGAGGCCACUGCACCCCGCUCCUACCCUGCCCCAGACCGAGUCCCACAGUCGCAUGCAUAGGACCCAGGUCUACACCCGCCCGCAAAAGGAGUUUUUCGUUUAAACCGUUUUCAAUUUCAGAGGAAAAAACAACACAGCGUUCAAUGUAAGCGGCUGACUACAACUCUAUUCUUUUGCUUUAAAUCGUUGAAAUCAUGACUUAAAAUAGGCAGGAAGUGGGAGAUGAAUCUGUAGAUCAGUUUGGGUAGUAUAGACAUUUUAAUGAUGUUGAGUCUGCAGA